UACGUAGGGUGCGAGCGUUAAUCGGAAUUACUGGGCGUAAAGCGUGCGCAGGCGGUUUUGUAAGCCAGAUGUGAAAGCCCCGGGCUUAACCUGGGAAUGGCAUUUGGGACUGCAAGGCUUGAGUGCGGCAGAGGAGACUGGAAUUCCUGGUGUAGCAGUGAAAUGCGUAGAUAUCCGGAGGAACACCAGUGGCGAAAGCGGCCACCUGGACUGCACCUGACGCUAACACGCGAAAGCUAGGGGAGCGAACGGG
rnacentral:rRNA from 1 species